rnacentral:lncRNA from 1 species
GAGGCAGAGGCCAAUCAGAUUCAUUCUCGCGGAUCAGCCUCCACUGACUUUGAGGAUUAAUCUUAAGCACACAUUUAAGUCUGUUUGAUCUAAGCGUUAUGGUUAUUCCUAGGGGGUGGAAAGAUUAGUACAUCGCUAGUUCAAGGUAGAGGAGGGGUUGGAUGCCCCAUAUAAAUACAAGCCUGACCCCCCUGGGGAGUAGCUAAUUCUGAAGCUUUAAUUCAUAUUUUCCAGAGAGAAUUAGUUAGAGAGGGGUCCCUCGAAUGGAUAUGUCUCUUUAGGGUUUUAGCAACAAGAGAGGUUGAGAGAGUAUAGGUUGGAGAUAGAAGUGGAGGAAGCCUGGCCUGUCGGUGUCUUCUUCCUUGUAUCUAUGGGAUCAAGUCUCCUAACCCGAGGCUUGGUUCUAGAAUCAUUCGGCAAUUCGACUUCUAAUACUAGUAAGUUAUUGUUCUUAUUGUUCUUUUGUUUAUGAGUUUACUUUAUUCGCUUGCGCUUGGGAAUAGAGUAAUCGUUCGUAGUGUAAGCGUCGUGCUUGGUAUUAUGGUUUUCUCUUUAUCUUUUAUCUCAUCUUUUCUUUUUUCCUUUUCUUUUCUAUCCAUAUGGAUAACCCAAAUUCCACGCCCUUGGAUCAAACCGACUUAAACGUGCGCUUAAGAUUAAUCCUCAAAGUCAGUGGAGGCAGGAUCCCCGAGGUUCACCCUCAUUGGCUAAAAGCCCUAGGCGGCCGCCCGUGAUAGGGUGGGGCGCCCGCCCCUGCCUUAUGGCAGGUGGGCCCCACCUUUCAGGAGGUGUCUUCGUGAACCUUCUGGAGUAUUCGUGAGUUGACGUUUCACGUGUUCUCUCUAUGUAAAUCUGACAUGUGGACCUCCUUUUGUUCUUAUUCUAAUAACCCCCUACAGAAAUAGAGAAUCACCAAAACUUGUGGAAUUCUGUUAGUGAUAACCCCUAUAGCUAGAUAGUAUUCUCAUUUAAGUCCUUUCUCUUGCUAUGUUGAUGGUUAAAAAGAGUACUUAUCGACCGUCAACAUCGACAAAAUAAACUUAUCAGCAAAAAUAGUCGAUCAACUGAAGGAUACAGAGAGGAUGGACUUACUAGCAAUGGUAGAGUCUAACUCUCCUAAUUGUUCCUU